CAGUCGCCGCGGGAAUACAGAGGGUGCGAGCGUUAAUCGGAUUUACUGGGCGUAAAGCGUGCGUAGGCGGCUUUUUAAGUCGGAUGUGAAAUCCCUGAGCUUAACUUAGGAAUUGCAUUCGAUACUGGGAAGCUAGAGUAUGGGAGAGGAUGGUAGAAUUCCAGGUGUAGCGGUGAAAUGCGUAGAGAUCUGGAGGAAUACCGAUGGCGAAGGCAGCCAUCUGGCCUGCACUGACGCUCAUGCACGAAAGCGUGGGGAGCAAACAGGAUUAGAUACCCCCGUAGUCCCUGUCUCUUAUACA
rnacentral:rRNA from 1 species